GGUGUUUCUCGGGUGAUGCAUCCUGGAAUCCGGCUCCCUCCUCUCUGGUCCUUGGUGCAUCACUUGAGAACCGCA
rfam:Myotis lucifugus cont2.32552, whole genome shotgun sequence.